rnacentral:tRNA from 1 species
GCCGAGAUGGUGGAACUAGGUAGACACGCCUGGCUUAGAACUAGGUGCCCGUAAGGGUUUGCAGGUUCGAUUCCUGUUCUCGGUACCA